rnacentral:rRNA from 1 species
CCUACGGGUGGCAGCAGUCGAGAAUCAUUCACAAUGGAGGAAACCCUGAUGGUGCGACGCCGCGUGGGGGAAUGAAGGUCUUCGGAUUGUAAACCCCUGUCAUGUGGGAGCACAUGAACAAGAUAGUACCACAAGAGGAAGAGACGGCUAACUCUGUGACAGCAGCCGCGGUAAUACAGAGGUCGCAAGCGUUGUUCGGAAUCACUGGGCGUAAAGCGUGCGUAGGCUGUUUCGUAAGUCGUGUGUGAAAGGCGCGGGCUCAACCCGCGGACGGCACAUGAGACUGCGAGACUAGAGUAAGGGAGGGGAGACCGGAAUUCUCGGUGUAGCAGUGAAAUGCGUAGAUAGCGAGAGGAACACUCGUGGCGAAGGCGGGUUCCUGGACAUUAACUGACGCUGAGGCACGAAGGCCAGGGGAGCGAAAGGGAUUAGAUACCCGAGUAGUC